rnacentral:rRNA from 1 species
AAAUUGAAGAGUUUGAUCAUGGCUCAGAUUGAACGCUGGCGGCAGGCCUAACACAUGCAAGUCGAACGGUAACAGGAAGCAGCUUGCUUCUUUGCUGACGAGUGGCGGACGGGUGAGUAAUGUCUGGGAAACUGCCUGAUGGAGGGGGAUAACUACUGGAAACGGUAGCUAAUACCGCAUAACGUCGCAAGACCAAAGAGGGGGACCUUCGGGCCUCUUGCCAUCGGAUGUGCCCAGAUGGGAUUAGCU